rnacentral:rRNA from 1 species
CCGAACCGUUGAGCGUUGAAAAGCUCUCGGAUGACCUGUGCCUAGGGGUGAAAGGCCAAUCAAACUUAGAGAUAGCUGGUUUUCUGCGAAAUCUAUUUAAGUAGAGCGUUUAAAUAACUGUAUAAUAGGGUAGAGCACUCAAUAAACUAGGGGGACUUAACGUUUUACUGAAUUUAAUGAAACUCCGAAUAUAAUAUAUAAGAAUUUAAGCAGACAGACUAUGGGUGCUAAGAUCCAUAUGUCAAGAGGGAAACAGCCCAGACUACACGUUAAGGUCCCUAAGAAUAAUUAAGUGAGAAAGAUUAUAAAAAAAUUUAAACAACUGGUAGGUAGGCUUGGAAGCAGCCAUCCUUUAAAGAAA